GGUGAGCAAUUGGAAACCAGCAGUCCUGGAUUAUAGAGGGUGCAAGCUGGGCUGAGAGGCACACACUCCCAUGCUCAAAUUUCGUGCCCUGGGCCUCUAGUAUAAUAUAAGCAUGUUAACAUUUCUGUAAUUUCCUAAUUUUUUGGCUGAUGUUCUUAUUUUAAUGUGCAUAAAAGUGCUGUAGUGGUGGAAGCACUGGAAAUGGAAUCAGAUAUGUUGAAUUUAGAAUGUUCAUAUUUACAUGUAACUCUACCAGUUACACAUGGCUUCCAAUGCUAACUGUGGGUCCUUAAGGAAGUCUGUUUUUCUUCCUUAGAUUCCAUUUCAUUUGAUGUAAAGUAUGAGUAUUUAUCUAACUAUAAUAGGUAUUUCAGAUUAAUAAAUGAAGUGCCUUUAAUAAGCAAUAGCAUUAUAUAGAUGUCAUUUACCUUUAAAGGAAAUUUUGACAAUUCUUUACAUGAGAAUUCCUGAAAGUAAAAUCAGUGUCAUAUUUUCAUCUGAUUAUGCUUUUUUUUUUUUAAGUUUCUUUAUACAAAAAUUUCCUGCCUCUUACCUUUUUAUUAUUUACUUAUUUAUCUGUUUAUUUAUUUACUUAUUUAAUCUGAGGCUAUUUUUUGUUGAUUUUAGAGAGGAAUGGAAAGAGAGAAACAUCUGUGUGAAAGAGAAACAUCGAUCAGUUGCCUCUACCCAGACCAGAAAUCAAAUCUGCAAUGUUUCAGCCAACUGAGCUGCCUUUCCAGGGCCUGUCUCUUACCUU